rfam:Populus trichocarpa scaffold_4_contig_222, whole genome shotgun sequence.
UCUAGAACCUGAGAUAUGAACUAAAUAGUGUCUGGGCUGCAGGGCAGAUUCGGACUUCUCUUUUGAUGCUACGAUUUGGACUCCAAAACAGAAAAAUUGAGUCUUAGACUCUUCAUGAAUGUUUUAGGUCUAUGUCUUAGCUUUCUAUC